AGACUUUGUAGCUUCUGUUGGU
rnacentral:siRNA from 1 species